AAACAAAUGAAGACUUGGCAUGGCAUGGCCAGAGUUGACCAGAAACAGACUUGGCAUAACAGAAACACAACUCACCGACAGCAGGUUACACAUUUUAAAGCUAAACAAAGAACAAAGGCAACAUGAGGGCUAUUUAUAGCCAACAAUACAGGUCACAUGACAAGAACCAACCAAUGAGAGACGGGACACAUGACUAAGACAACCAAUGAGAACAUGACACAAUGAACAGAGGAACCAAUAGCAGGAAUAAAAGAGGGCAAGGGAAGCUUGACACAAACAGCAUAAAUCAAAGUACAAAAUAAAAGACAUGAAAACAAGUCAAGCCAAGUCACCUUUAUUUAUAUAGCACUUUAAACAAAACAGAUUAUGUCAAAGCAACUGAACAACAUUAAUUAGGAAAACAGUGUGUCAAUAAUGCAAAAUGACAGUUAAAGGAAGUUCAUCAUUGAAUUCAGUGAUGUCAUCAUGCAGUUCAGUUCAUUUUAAAUAGUAUCUGUGCAAUCAUUUGCAAUCAAGUCAAUGAUAUCACUGUAAAUUAAGUGUCCCCAACUAAGCAAGCCAGAGGCGACAGCGGCAAGGAACCAAAACUCCAUUGGUGACAGAAUUGAGAAAAAACCUUGGGAGAAACUAGGCUCAGUCGGGGGGCCAGUUCUCCUCUGACCAGACGAAACCAGCAGUUCAAUUCCAGGCUGCAGCAAAGUCAGAUUGUGCAGAGGAUUCAACUGGUUCCUGUGGUCUUGUCCCAUUGGUCGUCUGAGACAAGGUCUUUACAGGGGAUCUGUAUCUGGGGCUCAUCUAGUUGUCCUGGUCUCUGCUGACAUUCAGGGCUGUAGAGAUCCUUUCUAGGUGCUGAUCCACCAUCUGGGCUGGAUACGUACUGGAUCCGGGUGACUGCAGUGACCAUCUGACCUGGAUACAGACUGGAUCUGGUAGCUAUGGUAACGUCGGAAUAAGAGAGAAACAGACUUAUAUUAGCGUAGAUGCCAUUCUUCUAACGAUGUAGCAAGUACAUCAGGGGUUAUGGGAAGUGUUCCCGGUUCCAGUUUAACUAAUUAAUGCAGCCUAAAAAUCCUUUAACAGAUUUGGAUAUUAGAAGCAUUUUAGUGUGUUAUGUGUAAGCCAGGUUAAAGAGAUGGGUCUUUAAUCUAGAUUUAAACUGCAAGAGUGUGUCUGCCUCCUGAACAAUGUUAGGUAGGUUAUUCAAGAAUUUAGGCGCGAAGUAGGAAAAGGAUCUGCCGCCCGCAGUUGACUUUGAUAUUCUAGGUAUUAUCAAAUUGCCAGAGUUUUAAGAACGCAGCGGAUGUGGAGGACUAUAAUGUAACAAGAGCUCGUUCAAAUACUGAGGUGCUAAACCAUUCAGGGCUUUAUAAGUAAUAAGCAAGAUUUUAAAAUCUAUACAAUGUUUAAUAGGUAGCCAGUGCAGUGUUGACAGGACCGGGCUAAUAUGAUCAUACUUCCUGGUUCUAGUAAGAACUCU
ensembl:lncRNA